GGCAGUCCUAGGGACUCAGGAGCUGCUCAACUCCUUCAUCCUCUGGCUGCAGAGAGACUAAGGGCACUUCCGGAGGUUCAUUACCACCUGGGACAGAAGGACAGGGAGGCAGCAGCCAUUGCCUGACCAUGCUGACCACAGGGCCUUGAAUCCUGCCUGAGGGAACUGGGGCCUGAAGUUUGGGCAGAUAUAGCAUCAACAAAACUAUGCUUUUCAAACUUUAAUCACAUAUUCUAACACCAGAGUGUGAACUCUAAUCUAUAGGGAUCUGGGGCUAAAGGCUAAUAGCCAGCUCCAGCCACAACUUUUUUUUGCCUAUAGAUGUGUAAGAACUUGAUGCAAAAAUUCUGAACAAAAUUAAAUUCAGUAUUUUGUCUGGCCUAUA